rnacentral:rRNA from 1 species
CGGGAAUUUUGGGCAAUGGGCGAAAGCCUGACCCAGCAACGCCGCGUGAGGGAUGAAGUAUUUCGGUAUGUAAACCUCGAAAGAAUGGGAAGAAUAAAUGACGGUACCAUUUGUAAGCUCCGGCUAACUACGUGCCAGCAGCCGCGGUAAUACGUAGGGAGCAAGCGUUGUUCGGAUUUACUGGGCGUAAAGGGCGCGUAGGCGGCGCGGUAAGUCACUUGUGAAAUCUCUGAGCUUAACUCAGAACGGCCAAGUGAUACUGCUGUGCUAGAGUGCGGAAGAGGCAACCGGAAUUCUUGGUGUAGCGGUGAAAUGCGUAGAUAUCAAGAGGAACACCUGAGGCGAAGGCGGGUUGCUGGGCCGACACUGACGCUGAUGCGCGAAAGCCAGGGGAGCAAACG